rnacentral:rRNA from 1 species
UACGGAGGGUGCAAGCGUUAUCCGGAUUUACUGGGUUUAAAGGGUGCGUAGGCGGGCUUUUAAGUCAGCGGUGAAAGCUUCGAGCUUAACUCGGAAAUUGCCGUUGAUACUAUUAGUCUUGAAUUAAGUUGAGGUGGGCGGAAUAUGUCAUGUAGCGGUGAAAUGCUUAGAUAUGACAUAGAACACCGAUUGCGAAGGCAGCUCGCUAAACUUAUAUUGACGCUGAGGCACGAAAAGCGUGGGGGAUCAAACAGG